GCUUGACUGGCUCAGUUGGUAGAGCGUGUGACUUUUUAUCUUGGGGUCAUGAGUUCGAGCUUCAUGUUGGGCA
rnacentral:tRNA from 1 species